CUGGGAAUAUUUGUGGUUAAGAGCAAGGUGUGGCUCAGUGAUAUAACUGCCUUGGCUGGUCACAUGCUAGGAACUAGGAGCAGCAGGAAAGCUUAAACACUGUGGUUUCCUACAUGUCCUGGCACAAAAGUUACCAUUUGGCUUCUUCACCACUUCUCCUCCCCCUGAUUAGAGCAAUGAAUGGGACGCUGAGUUUUGAUUAGCUGCUUUUAGCAGAAGGAUGACAAGCACCAUGGUGUUCACCUCCCCUCGGUAUGUAUCUGUACUAGCAAAUUCAGUCUUCUACAGUCUCCUACAGGAGACAAGCACUGUAGAAGCUGCGGUUUCUCUGACAGGAAGUGGGACCAGCUUCCUGCUUCUCAUCUCCUGAUACCCACACUGGAUUGGUGUCAGCAGUGGCUGCUCACAGGUGGCACUCCACAGAGACACACACCGAGUCAGUUCCACCCAGCUUAGCAGAUGCUCAGACUGACCGCAUCCGUUACAUUCAGGUCAUGUUGUCAAACUUCCAAUUACUUGGAGGGAAACAUCAUUACAGCAGACUGCACUGUGUACUUCAGAUUAAGUACAGAGAUGAAGAUUAACUAGAAGCAACAAAUGGAAUAUAACUAAGCAAAGGAUGCAUGUGACACCUCAGCCACUUCUCGAUGGAGUACUGGAAUACCGCUGAUCCUAACUACUAAGACCAGGAACGAAAAAGAACAGAGUAAAGCUAGGCAUGUGACACUGGAUGGAAGAAGAAAGGAACCAAUAUCUCUGCAGAUCUAGAUUCAUCAAAUAACCAUGCCCACUGCCCUUCUGGAAGCAUCAGAACUUCAGCAUGUUACACUGGAAACCUGAGAAACAGCACUGCAGCAAAAGAAGGUGCAGCAGUCCAGCCUGCUGGCACUGGCACAGCAAUAGCACAAAUAAAAUGAAGAAAAAAAAAAUAUCAAUUUAGUUCUUAAUGCAUCUCAAAUAAAAGAGAAAAUAAAAAUGCUGACAAAUUAGUAAAAUAUUCUGUACAUACAAGACAUACCCUAGUUUCUUUCAAAGAAGAAUCAAUUCCAUCCUUAUGCUGAUGCAUUUGAUCUACGUGAAUCCUCCAAUCCUAAAAAGACAUCACAAAUUAAAACACAGAUGGGGUGUUUUUUCAAGACUACACAAGGAUUUUUAGACUUAAACCCAACAGACAUAAAUUGCUGCUACAGAUAUAAAAAUCUUGCAAGAGAGGACUGAUGGAUAACCACUUACUGAUCUGUAUGUUUGUGCCUUUAAAACAUUCAGAUCAAUAUAAUCUUCUUCAUUGUCUGAUUCUUCUUCCUUAAAAGAAGUUUCAAAGCAAGACUUCACCUCAAAAUUCCUGUCUUCCGUCACUAUGAUCAGCUGAGAGCCCAUCACCUGCAGCUCCAAUGAGGCAACUGAAGGAAAAGCAGACAAAGGCAAGGAACAGAUGCAGUAUAGAAAUCUUUAAGGCUGUGGUAAGAGGAGCAGAAGAGGCAGCAGGGAGCAGAAGAGGCAGCAGCCACAAGUGAUCUGUUGGAUGGUCAAGCACACAAGUGACAAGGCAAGUAGUUCCUGGCAGUUUGUACAGCCUUUUACUCCUUAACAAAGGGAAAAAAAAGAAAAAAAAAAAGAAGAAAACAUGAAUACUAUUGUAAACAACUUCCUACACUACAAAUGAAGUCAUUGGCUUUGGCAGGAACAGAAUUACAAACUGUGUAAACCUUCCAGAUAAAAUUUCUGAAAAUUAUGCUACUAUAAAUGAGCAACAUAUGUAGCACUACAAAAGGUAAGCCUGGUUUAAUCCAUUUUACAGACUGUAGAACAAAAGUAACUGGAAUAAUUUAUAAGACCAUUUCUGUAGUGCUAAAAAAAUAAUCAGCAAGUAGGUAUUACUUGCCUAUGUAAACUUCCAGUUAACUGAGUAACA